GCAACUUUGGCUGGAGUUGCUGCAAGUUGCACCAACGAAAAACCAGGAAGAAAAAGAAAUAUAUUCAUGUUUGUGUCAUGUCAAUGGCGUGCGAUGAAUGCUUAUUAAUUCCCGAUUUUCGCUCAUCUAUUUCGUAUUUCGACUUAGUCGGUCUAUCCACGAUCCUUUUUCCAGCGAAAAUCAAGCAGCAGGCAUCCUUCUCCGUCGUAAAAUGUGGUGCGACAAAAUUGAAUCUGCCAAGGAUUUUGCGAUCGCGUUUUGUGGAAGCCUCUGAAUUAUAGGAUUUUGAAGUUCAAAUUCUCACCUGCACGGAUAGGGCGAACAAAUUUGGUGCCCCUUAAGAUGAAUGAAAUUGUUUGGUAUUAUGAGAAAACGCGUUCACCGGAUUGUCUUCAAUGUGGACAGACAACUGCUAAACUUAAGCCGCUUACACAGGCCAGGAGAGGCUCAACUAUAUGUCUACGGUGCAACACAGAAUCCUGAAUAAGGCAACCUGAACUGAGCGUCAGCUUUCAGCGGCCUUCCUUCCGCAGGGUCGUUCUCGCUGCAAAAGUCAA